GAUGAACGAUGGCGGCGUGCCUAAUACAUGCAAGUCGAGCGAACAGAUGAGGAGCUUGCUCCUCUGACGUUAGCGGCGGACGGGUGAGUAACACGUGGAUAACCUACCUAUAAGACUGGGAUAACUUCGGGAAACCGGAGCUAAUACCGGAUAAUAUAUUGAACCGCAUGGUUCAAUAGUGAAAGACGGUUUUGCUGUCACUUAUAGAUGGAUCCGCGCCGCAUUAGCUAGUUGGUAAGGUAACGGCUUACCAAGGCGACGAUGCGUAGCCGACCUGAGAGGGUGAUCGGCCACACUGGAACUGAGACACGGUCCAGACUCCUACGGGAGGCAGCAGUAGGGAAUCUUCCGCAAAGGGCGAAAGCCUGACGGAGCAACGCCGCGUGAGUGAUGAAGGUCUUCGGAUCGUAAAACUCUGUUAUUAGGGAAGAACAAAUGUGUAAGUAACUAUGCACGUCUUGACGGUACCUAAUCAGAAAGCCACGGCUAACUACGUG
rnacentral:rRNA from 1 species